AAAUUUUAAAUAGUUCAUGUGUCGCUUAAAGCCCAUUUGGCAACAGGGGGUGGGAAAUAGACCUUUACCUUUAUCGUUUGAGAAUAUGAUAUAUCCAGUCAUAUGUAUUUGAAUAUUGAAAAUAUCUUCUUCCUUAAAGUGGGUCUAGGAGCAGCUGAUUAGCAUCAGCCAGGAUCAAGCUACAGACCUACUAAAUCAGAAUCUGCAUUUAACAAGCCCCUUGCAGGAUUAGUGUGCCCGUUAAAGACUAGAGUUAAACCAAGAGUCUCUCUCUCUAUGACAUUUGUCAGAUUGCUUAACAUUUCUGAGCCUCAUUAUAAACUGCUUAUAAACUCCUUUGUACAGUUGUGAGCAUUAGUGUUAAUGCGUGCACCUUGCAUGUGCCAUGCCCAUGGGAGGUGCUCUAUAAAUGAGAGAUGGUGAUGAUGACAAUUUCAGUAUUGCCAAGGCUACUCACUUCCUAGUAAUCAUGUUUAAAUCAGAAUGACUGGUUUUCACCCUUAACCACAAACAUUUGUAUCUUCCACCCUCAUUCCUAAAUGAAUUAUCAUCCAAUGAGACAAGCGGGGGAGGGAGAGAUCCCUGUCCCGUCACUUUCCUGACAGAGGUGCUGUGACAGGCUGCCUUCUCAGAAGUCCAAGAAGAAGCUCAGACUGCUGUUCCUUCUCUCUCAGGUCCAGGGGUCUCCCUGGUAAUGGAUUGCUUCUCUCUGAGGUACAUUUUUUGCCCACAGUUUUUGAGACCACCCAGAUCUAGUCUGUGAACUCAGC
rnacentral:lncRNA from 1 species